GAUGAACGCUGGCGGCGUGCCUAACACAUGCAAGUCGAACGGAGAUUACGGACGGAAGUUUUCGGAUGGAAGACUGUAAUUCUUAGUGGCGGACGGGUGAGUAACGCGUGGGCAACCUGCCCUAUACAGGGGGAUAGCAGCUGGAAACGGCUGGUAAGACCGCAUAAGUCGGUUAAAUCGCAUGAUUUGAUCGGGAAAUGAGCAAUCAGGUAUAGGAUGGGCCCGCGUCCGAUUAGCCAGUUGGCAGGGUAAAAGCCUACCAAAGCGACGAUCGGUAGCCGGACUGAGAGGUUGGACGGCCACAUUGGGACUGAGACACGGCCCAAACUCCUACGGGAGGCAGCAGUGGGGGAUAUUGCACAAUGGAGGAAACUCUGAUGCAGCGACGCCGCGUGAGUGAAGAAGUAUUUCGGUAUGUAAAGCUCUAUCAGCAGGGAAGAUGAUGACGGUACCUGACUAAGAAGCCCCGGCUAACUACGUG
rnacentral:rRNA from 1 species